AAAAAAUGUGGAUAAAGCUGCUGUCAUUGACAGCUUUGAAAUGACACACACCUGGACAAAGAAUACCUCCAAACUGAAAGUUUGUAGAGAACAGAUUUUUCUAGUUGCAUAAUGGUUAUGCCAUUGCUUUGAUUGCCAUUGUUUAAUUUUACUUUUGUAUUAUCCUUAAGUUUUUUUGUUUAUUUUGUAUUGAUUUUCAGAUGGAUCCAAUGGCCUUCAAAAUGAUUCUGGUCAUUUUUAAUGACCACCACCAUUGGAUGUUAACGGUAAAGCUUUGACUGUCACUUUGAAAAGCUAUAAAAUAGUCCCCACAUGGAGACUGACAUGAAAAGUUAAUCAUUAUGCCUUAGGAAGUAUUUUAAACAAAUAUUUAUCCCUGUUUGUAUUGCCUCACUUGGUAGUAGUGGCAAAGUUCUAAAAUUAAUGUUACCUUCCAAAAUGCAAAGGUUAUUUAUCCUCACGAAAAGAAGACCUUGUUUGUGGAUCCAAUGGGAGAAUCUCAAGCAAAGAUAAAAAAGAUGCCUGGAAACAACACGGCAACAAGAACUUCAAGAAAGCAGUUACAAAAAUUGAAUACUGGUGUGGACAGUUAAAUGCAUUUCAUUUUCAUUUCUUUUCCAAGGGCAUUCAUGUGGAGGGGAGGCUGCAAAAUAUCGAGGUGGGCAUGCAGCACCCUUCCCCAUGGACUUCAGCGUGACGGCACAUCAUGCGGUGUCUUGGCCUUGAAAGUGACUGUUUCCUAUAGCCAAACCUUCAAUGUUGAAUAAAUCAAUCCAUUACAUAUUGCGUACAUUAUUUAUAGCAGGUUUUAAGCUUGUAUUGGUCUUUCACUUUCUUCAUUAUUGUUUGUAAUUUGUCCACUUUUUUAGCAAAGUGCUACCAAGUGUCACUGUUCAUUAGAUCCAUAUUUAAUAACCUGUUGUCUUUAGUUAGCUCAGUGUAUAUUGGAAGAACAGCCCAUGACUCUUGAUACAAGUAGAGGGGCUGUCAACAAGAUGAGAGAAGACAUUGCCACAACUCUUCUCCGUGAAUCUGAAUCGCUCAAGAAUCUUUGCCAUCAUUGCGGGUCUGAGGGAAUGGAUGGCGUGCUAUGGAUUGGUUGUGACAAGUGCAGCAGAUGGUACCACCAUGACUGCGUGAAGAAUCCUGCUCUGAACGAGGACUACCUCUGCCCUCUCUGCAUGCAAGAUUAGGGGAAGAGAAGGACUUUAUUGUGUGUUAUUGUGUCAAUUUAUUUGACACAAUAAGGGUGGCGCUGACAGACUUGAUGUGAGUUUACUAGUGCCGAGCUAGGCAGCUAACAGCACAAUAUAACCCCCCCCCCAACCACACCAAUGCUGUCCCUUAAGUUUUUAGGGCCAA